CUCGUGGGAUGUAGGCUGCUAUAGCAAGACUUGCAUACUCGACUGGGUUCAAAGAGCUGCUGGCUGGGAACUGGAACCUUCUGAUUACAACAACUGGAGCAGAAUACAUUCCCACAAUUCCUUGAGCCAAGAAAAAGCCAAGCAGAGAGGGGAUCCCUACCUAUCAGUCACAGCCUCAUCACUAUGGCUCAAGGUUACGAGGUCAACAGGAGGAUGUUGCUCAUGAGAGAUCUGUGAAAGCAAAUGAGCCCAGGGCAGAAGCAGCUGCGAACUAUGGGCAGUCCGGGCCCAGAAAUCCAGUGGCCACACCCACCUGGGCAACAGCCUCUCUGUAGCGUGUGAUCACAGAGAGGCCAGAGGCCAGUGGAACUCCCAUAAGCCCUGCAGAUGAGAGAAAGUACCCUGCCCAGCGGGGGAGUGAGGAGCCUUGCCCAAAGGACCACUGCCCCAGAGGCUCCCAGGCAGCAACAGCAACAUGGAGAAUAGAUUGCUGCCACCUAGGACUGCUCUGCGCCCGGCAUGCAAAGCCAGAGACAAGCAACCAGUGACAGACACAUGCUCAGGGUGAAAUGACAAGAACACAGAUGAACACACAUGCCCUUAGUAGAUAGGUAUCAGUCAAUUAUGGCUCCCUCCCCUGCCCCCAUGCAACUCCAGGGACUAUCCACUCUACCUGAAGGCCUGUCUUGUACCCAGGCCUCAUGCCUCCCCUCUCCUCCACUUGAAAGCCCACCUCCGCACACCCAAACAAGACACCUCUUCACAGCUAACGGGAAAGGAACUGGCAGAGGAUGUGUUUCUGCCCACCUUACAAACCCACUUUUGAUGGGCCUUACAGGACAAACCAAUCCCAAUAAGCGAAGAACAGGAGAUUCCAAGGAGCUUAACACAGCUCGCCAAAGAUUUGGGGAAAGCAGCAAAGGGAAAUUCUUCUUAGCCAACAUCACUCACUGUUUUUUCAUUUACGUUCCUUAGAAUGCAAACCCAGUACUGGUUUAAGGACCAGCUAGGCACAGAGGAGAGAAUACUGAAUAUCUUUUCAGGACAAAAACCACAAAAGGAAAAGACACAGGGUAAUGGAAGGACAGAAAACUAAAACACACAAAACUUUUUCUAGAAUACAGUAAGUAUUUCACAACUCUGUUCUGAAAAGCAUGUCAGCAAGAACCUGUGGUUACACAGAAAUAUUACCUCAAUCCGUUUCUGAAUAUUUACAUUUAUUUAACACACCUGCUAGAGUUCAGCUCAAAAGCCUGGCAUAAAUUUGAUCAGUUAAGCUUUUCAAUCUGACUUCAGGGGAUCCUGAUAGACCCUAUGUGGAGUCUUCCCUUAAAGUCUUUCAUGUUAAAACAAUUCUCUGGAAAGACAACCUCUGUUCAUUUCCGGUCUCUUUUAAAAA